rnacentral:ncRNA from 2 species
ACCCUGGCUCCCGCUGAUGGUCCGUCGUGCUCCACGCUCGGCGGGACAACAGGGAACCCGGUGCGAAUCCGGGGCUGCCCCGCAGCGGUGAUCGGGAACGACCGCCAUCACCCCGCCGGUUCGUCGGUGGGGUCCAGCACUGGGUGCGAACCCGGGAAGCGAUGGCCAGUAGGCAUUCCUUGCGUUGAGGCGCAGGACCAGCCCGAGAGUCCGAAGACCUGCCAUCGGUCGGUGGGCCGU